rfam:Hordeum vulgare subsp. vulgare, WGS project CAJW01000000 data, contig: morex_contig_44366
UUAGUACUCCCUUUGUUUGGAAAUAUUUAUCAUAGAAAUGAAUAUAUCUAGAUGUAUUUUAGUUAUGGAUACAUUCAUUUUUAUUCAUUUGUGUGACAAAUAAUUUCGAAAGGAGGGAGUAGUUG